rnacentral:RNase_P_RNA from 1 species
AUUGCCAGUCAGGCAAUCGCGCUCAUACCAUUAAGUGCUAUGAUCGAGGAAAGUCCGGGCUCCACAGGAUAAAGUGCCAGGUAACCCCUGGGAAGUGAAAACUUACGGCCAGUGCAACAGAAAAGAAACCGCCUAAAUUUAUUUAGGUAAGGGUGAAAUGGUGCGGUAAGAGCGCACCGCGUUUCUGGUAACAGAAAUGGCAUGGUAAACCCCACUUGGAGCAAGACCAAAUAGAGAAACUAUAGAUGUGAUCCGCAUUGUUUCCGGGUAGGUUGCUUGAGAUAUUUGGUGACAAAUAUCCUAGAUGAAUGAUUGCCAUAGGGGCUUGCCUCUAUACAGAACCCGGCUUAUCGACUGGCUUUUUCU